rnacentral:rRNA from 1 species
AGCGUUGUCCGGAAUUACUGGGCGUAAAGGGUUUGUAGGUGGCCACUUAAGUCAGACGUGAAAUCCCUCAGCUUAACUGGGGGACUGCGUCUGAUACUGCGUGGCUUGAGUGCAGGAGAGGAACGCGGAAUUCCAGGUGUAGCGGUGAAAUGCGUAGAUAUCUGGAGGAACACCGGUGGCGAAGGCGGCGUUCUGGACUGGAACUGACACUGAAAAACGAAAGCCAGGGGAGCAAGCGGG